rnacentral:rRNA from 1 species
GACGAACGCUGGCGGCGUGCUUAACACAUGCAAGUCGAGCGGUAAGGCCCUUUCGGGGGUACACGAGCGGCGAACGGGUGAGUAACACGUGGGUGACCUGCCCUCAGCUCUGGGAUAAGCCUGGGAAACCGGGUCUAAUACUGGAUAUGACUCCAUGACGCAUGUUGUGGGGUGGAAAGCCUUGUGCGGCUGAGGAUGGGCCCGCGGCCUAUCAGCUUGUUGGUGGGGUGANGGCCUACCAAGGCGACGACGGGUAGCCGGCCUGAGAGGGCGACCGGCCACACUGGGACUGAGACACGGCCCAGACUCCUACGGGAGGCAGCAGUGGGGAAUCUUGCGCAAUGGGNGAAAGCCUGACGCAGCGACGCCGCGUGAGGGAUGACGGCCUGGU